AUUAGCCAAAUACACUGACGUCAUCCGAGGUCAUCAAGAUGGCAGCGUUUGACAACUAGCCUAUUUUCUCAUAAGAGUCAAUGCUAAUAUUUUCGGAAUUCAUUUAAAUUUGAGAGCGUGUCAACUGUGUUUUUAUAGUUUGGUUGCGCGAAUCGAAGCACCAGAAAUGCGGACAAAUUUUAUUUUCCUUUCCCAGCAAUUAGCAACAAUAAAGGUAAAUAUAUACAGGAUGGGGAAAAAAGGCGGAAGCUUUGGUUAAAAGCCUUGAAACGAGUGGAUUUAACGAAGCCAAAGUAAAGUAUUCCUAUGUUUGUUCGGAUCAUUUUAUUUUGGUAAACCUGCAGAUUUGUCAGAUGUGGACCAUCCUGAUUAUGUUCCAUCACAAAAUUUAGGAUAUCAAAAUAAAUCUACUCAUAAUACUUGUAAUG